AGAGUUUGAUCCUGGCUCAGAACGAACGCUGGCGGCGUGCUUAAUACAUGCAAGUCGUGCGAGAAAGUGGGGGCAACUCCAUAAGUACAGCGGCAAACGGGUGAGUAACACGUAAGGAAUCUGCCUUCAAGUUCGGAAUAGCUCUGCUAACGCGGAAUUAAUGCCGGAUGUGGUCAUAUGAUCGCAUGGUUGUGUGACUAAAGAUGACCUCUUCGUUUGAAAGUUAUCGCUUGGAGAUGACCUUGCGGCCCAUUAGCUAGUUGGCGGGGUAACGGCCCACCAAGGCUGCGAUGGGUAGCCGGCCUGAGAGGGUGAUCGGCCACAUUGGGACUGAGAUACGGCCCAGACUCCUACGGGAGGCAGCAGUAGGGAAUUUUGCGCAAUGGGCGAAAGCCUGACGCAGCAACGCCGCGUGAGGGAUGAAGGUCUUCGGAUUGUAAACCUCUGUUGAGUGGGAAGAAACGUACUGAGGCAAAUAACCUGAGUGCCUGACGGUACCAUUCGAGGAAGCCCCGGCUAACUACGUGCCAGCAGCCGCGGUAAUACGUAGGGGGCUAGCGUUGUUCGGAAUCACUGGGCGUAAAGCGAGUGUAGGCGGGGGUGUAAGUCAGGAGUUUAAUCUACGGGCUUAACCCGUAGUUGGCUCUUGAGACUGCGUCUCUUGAGUAGUGGAGAGGGAGACGGAAUUCCAGGUGUAGCGGUGGAAUGCGUAGAUAUCUGGAAGAACACCAGUAGCGAAGGCGGUCUCCUGGCCACAUACUGACGCUGAGGCUCGAAAGCGUGGGGAGCAAACAGGAUUAGAUACCCUGGUAGUCCACGCCGUAAACGAUGGACACUAGAUAUCGGGUGAUUCAGUUCAUUCGGUGUCGUAGCUAACGCGAUAAGUGUCCCGCCUGGGGAGUACGCUCGCAAGGGUGAAACUCAAAGGAAUUGACGGGGGCCCGCACAAGCGGUGGAGCAUGCGCUUUAAUUCGAUGCAACGCGAAGAACCUUACCUGGGUUUGACAUGGGAGUGAAAGCCUCCAGAGAUGGGGGACCUUCCUUCGGGAACACUCUACACAGGUGCUGCAUGGUUGUCGUCAGCUCGUGUCGUGAGAUGUUGGGUUAAGUCCCGCAACGAGCGCAACCCUCGUCCUUAGUUGCCAUCAGGUAAUGCUGGGAACUCUAGGGAGACCGCCUGGAUUAACCAGGAGGAAGGUGGGGAUGACGUCAAAUCAUCAUGGCUCUUACGUCCAGGGCAAGACGCGUGCUACAAUGGUCGGUACAGAAGGAUGCCAAGUCGCGAGACCGAGCUAAUCCCAAAAACCGAUCUCAGUUCGGAUUGGAGUCUGCAAUUCGACUCCAUGAAGCUGGAAUCGCUAGUAAUCGCGGAUCAGCAUGCCGCGGUGAAUAUGUUCCCGGGCCUUGUACACACCGCCCGUCAAGCCAUGAAAGAUGGGAGUACCCGAAGUCGCUAGUCUAAUCCGCAAGGAAGGGCGGCGCCGAAGGUAAGACCAUUGAUUGGGGCUAAGUCGUAACAAGGUA
rnacentral:rRNA from 1 species